rnacentral:SRP_RNA from 1 species
CGGUGGGCCUUAGGCGGGAAGCUCGACCUCUCCUGAGAGGUGGAAACCUCGACCGUAAAUGGUCGAUACGACGGGUCGAAAGCUUGGGGAAGGCUCGUGAGCCUUCCGGGCUGCUUGACCCGAUGGCUGUGAAUACUCGUCUCUCGGGGUCGGCGGUUGGGGCUGCAGCCCGCGUAGGAGGGUUGUAUGCUCCAUCUGCUUGGCGAACCUGGCCAGGACCGGAAGGUAGCAACCUAAGUCGAGACGUCUGACGCUCGGGAGGGUUCGGGUAAGAGUUCAUCGAUUGAGCUGCCUGGAAGAUACUCAGGUGUCGACCCCAAGUGGCCCAUCG